rnacentral:rRNA from 1 species
UACGGGGGGAGCAAGCGUUGUUCGGAUUUACUGGGCGUAAAGGGCGCGUAGGCGGCCACGAAAAGUCAGUUGUGAAAUCUCUGGGCUUAACUCAGAACGGUCAACUGAUACUGUCGGGCUAGAGUGCAGAAGGGGCAACUGGAAUUCUCGGUGUAGCGGUGAAAUGCGUAGAUAUCGAGAGGAACACCUGCGGCGAAGGCGGGUUGCUGGGCUGACACUGACGCUGAGGCGCGAAAGCCAGGGGAGCAAACGGG